rnacentral:lncRNA from 1 species
ACGCUGUGUGAUUAAUUUGACCACUAGUAAUAGCAGAGACUGCCACGUUGCAGGGCAGCACUCUGAUCUGGCAGCGAUAAAAUUCUUUUUACCAGCUUUUAAUUUGUUUGUUUGGUUGGUUUUUUACAGAGUGGAAUGCUAAAGAUUCAAAAAGGCCUAUCCCGGGAUAAUCAUUAGCUCAGGAACUAGUUCGUGCAGCUGCAGUGGGAAGACAACAGGAGAGCAGGAGCAGGAAUCCAGAUACCCUCCUACUUGUGAAGUAAGGAUCCGAGCCCAUCCAGUUGACGUUCCUCUGCAGCAGGGGUGACCAGGUGAUGCCAACUCGGAAGCUGGAGGUCACAUGGCCACUGUCAUGCCAUACUGUGUUCAGGCUGAGAAGCAAGUCGUACGUGCAGGACACCCAGACUGGAAAUCUACAGCAGUAGCUUCCCCAAAUGCUGGGAUAAAAAAGGGAGCUGAAGCGCACUGAUUGCUCAGAGGAAAUGCAGUUUUGUCCAAGAAGAAAGGUGACUGUUCAGAAAUACCACGUCCCAUGCUGCGCUGCUGCUGCCAGCUCCUCCAGCUGCCUCACGGCUCCCAGGUUAGCAAGGAUUCAGACUUAGCAUUUUGAUGGAAACUCUUGUGUUUCGUUCACACCACCUGGGCUGGAGUUUGGGGUCUGACUCAGCUCUGGAUUUCUCUCUGGGUCCCCAGGGAGGGAAACAGCAGCGAUAUGACAGGCUGACUGAAGCUUGAGGUGUGCAUAUGGAGAAAGCGUGAGCAGCCAAGUACAUUUUAGUGUACAAAUAUAUUUUCCUGGGGUAAGUUGUCAUCCCUCUUAACGAUUCCUUGCAUAGAAGUUGUUUAUACCUUUUAUUGCCUUUGCUGCCUUUCUCUCUCUACCUUUUCUAACUAACUGCAUCCUUUUUGGAGCAAGUGACCAGAUGGUCGGAGCUUAUGUUAUUCUAAGGACAUAAAGGGGUACAUCAGAAAAAUUAGUACCUAUGUUGCAGCAAUGGGCAACUGCAAA